AACGAACGCUGGCGGCAUGCCUAACACAUGCAAGUCGAACGAGACCUUCGGGACUAGUGGCGUACGGGUGCGUAACGCGUGGGAACCUUCCCUUAGGGUCGGAAUAACUCCCCGAAAGGGGUGCUAACACCGGAUAAUGUCUUCGGACCAAAGAUUUAUCGCCCUUGGAUGGGCCCGCGUUGGAUUAGCUAGUUGGUAGGGUAAAAGCCUACCAAGGCGACGAUCCAUAGCUGGUCUGAGAGGAUGAUCAGCGACACUGAGACUGAGACACGGCCCAGACUCUUACGGGAGGCAGCAGAGGGGAAUAUAGGACAAUGGGCGAAAUCCUGAUCCAGCACUGCCGCGUGAGUGAUGAAGGUCUUAGGGUUGUAAAGCUCUUUUACCCGGGAUGAUAAUGACAGUACCGGGAGAAUAAGCUCCGGCUAACUCCGUG
rnacentral:rRNA from 1 species